rnacentral:rRNA from 1 species
GACGAACGCUGGCGGCGUGCUUAACACAUGCAAGUCGAGCGGUAAGGCCCUUUCGGGGGGUACACGAGCGGCGAACGGGUGAGUAACACGUGGGUGACCUGCCCUCAGCUCUGGGAUAAGCCUGGGAAACUGGGUCUAAUACCGGAUAUGACUCCAUGACGCAUGUUGUGGGGUGGAAAGCCUUGUGCGGCUGAGGAGUGGGCCCGCGGCCUAUCAGCUUGUUGGGUGGGGUGANGGCCUACCAAGGCGACGACGGGUAGCCGGCCUGAGAGGGCGACCGGCCACACU